GCGGUCAUAGAUUAGCUGGGAGAUCGUCAUACUGAAGAUCUGAAGGUCGUGUGUUCGUGUCACACUCACCGCA
rnacentral:tRNA from 1 species